GCAAUGUAUUUAUAUCUUGUGCCACACUUUAUUGCUAGCCAUCCUGAUUAGAAAUGGCUUCCAGGAAUAUUUCCAUCACAUGUUCUGCCGGUUCACCUGACAACAUUGACAAGUGCAGGAUCAGCAACUCUCAUAUCCAGCACCAGAGGUAUGAGGAUGUGAGAAGAAAAAAAGGACGGAAAUGUGUAGAACCAGAAGCUAGUCUGUAGUCUUCUUGUUUCCGAGGCUGAUUUUGAACUCCUGAUUUGAACUUCAAAUUGAUCCCCUUACCUCAGCCUUCCAAAGGCUAGGAUUAUAGAUCACUCCACCAUUCCCAGCUGUGUGCAAGUACUCUCUGCUUGGCAGGUGUGGAAAGGCCAUGAGUGGGACUUUCAAGGUUGUGAGAUCACUGGAAUGAGCCACAACCAGCAUGAAAAAGCAACUCAGAAGAGAAGUGGUAGAAACAUGAG
ensembl:lncRNA